rnacentral:rRNA from 1 species
GACGAACCGUGCGAACGUUGUUCGGAAUCACUGGGCUUAAAGGGCGCGUAGGCGGGCAGUCAAGUCAGGGGUGAAAUCCCGCGGCUCAACCGCGGAAGGGCCUUUGAUACUGGCUGUCUCGAGGGAGGUAGGGGCGUGCGGAACUUCCGGUGGAGCGGUGAAAUGCGUAGAUAUCGGGAGGAACAUCAGUGGCGAAGGCGGCCCUCUGGUCCAGUACUGGACACUCAAGUGCGAAAGCGUGGGGAGCAAACAGG